UCCAGUGCCAAACAACCACCAAAGUGACAAUGUGGCCGAGCACCACCAGUGCUGGGAAAGAGUUUCCAGGGGGAUUCACCGGCAUGAGGACCCGGAGGAAGAGGGGGAGUGCAGGCCGACUACAGCAGGCUGCGGAGUCACUGCCGUCUGGCUCAGUAAAUAAUAUAUGAGGCUGUUCUAUGGAGAGUGUCCUCGCUUUGGGAGCUGGAGUUCUCUGUGACCUUUCUUUUCUAGCGUGUAUUAAGCCCUAGGCUAAAUGAAACCAUAUGCAGUCUUCCCCCCUGCCUCAAAAUAACAAAGGUGCCUCACAGUUUCAAAGAGGACAACCAGUUCUUCCAGUGACGACGGCCAUUAAAGCAAAGCCUUUAAAAGUAGAACAAACGCAGGGAAUCCCCUCUCGGUCAGACUGACCCAUCUGAAACUACAGUCUUACUGCUCCAAAAGCUCUGUUUACGAAUAAAAUUGGCUCAGAUCAGUACUUUUAACAUCUUAGCGCAGUUCCCAGGCAACACAAAAACUUCCCAUCAAUAACACAACAAAGCUAAUUUAAAGAAUGACGGGUUUUUUUCCCAAAUAAACCACACACUUUUUUGGGGGAAGAUUUUUAUCUCUGAUCAGUCAGUGUUAGUUAUGUUGUUUAUUAAAUAAAUCAAAGAUGGCAUCCCUCAGAAUGUAAAAGAAAGCGAUAUUGUCUAAAAACAAAUAAUAUUUAUAACCCAACACUGCCCAACAGACAUAAACAAGUUGCUUGGAAACCAGAAAGAACCCUGUCAAACCUGACCUAUGUUAGCGCAACAGGUGUGUACAGUAUACUAGCUGCGCAAAUAUCUGGUUAGGAAUCUAAGUUCUUCCUCCACCCUCUGCCUAAAUGCCAUCGUGAAACAGGAAGGGUGACAUUCACAGGCAGUGUGGUUUAAAAAUAAAACAAAAAGUACAUUCAACAUAAUUCAAGUCGGCCAUAGUGAAGACACGUUUAAAAAUGGAAAACAUUUGGCUUCGAAAUAGAUGGCCGUCACAGAUAUGGUGUCCGUUCACCCUCUAAAAGUUUCACACACACACACACACAACCUGCCUGAGAUUUCAACAUACCAGGUAC